rnacentral:rRNA from 1 species
AAUUUUCCGCAAUGGGCGAAAGCCUGACGGAGCAAUACCGCGUGAGGGAGGACGGCUUUUGGGUUGUAAACCUCUUUUAUCAGGGAAGAAUCGAUGACGGUACCUGAUGAAUCAGCAUCGGCUAACUCCGUGCCAGCAGCCGCGGUAAUACGGAGGAUGCAAGCGUUAUCCGGAAUUAUUGGGCGUAAAGCGUCCGUAGGUGGUUUAUCAAGUCUGCUGUCAAAGCGUGCGGCUUAACCGCAUAAGGGCAGUGGAAACUGAUGAACUAGAGUGCGAUAGGGGUAACAGGAAUUCCCAGUGUAGCGGUGAAAUGCGUAGAUAUUGGGAAGAACACCAGCGGCGAAAGCGUGUUACUGGGUCUGCAC